GGUCCCAUCGUCUAACGGUUAGGACACCAGGUUCUCAAUCUGGUAAUCAGAGUUCGAUUCUCUGUGGGAUCA
rnacentral:tRNA from 1 species